AGAGAAAUAGCUCAGUGGUAGAGCGCACGCGGUCCUGGGUUCAAUCCCCAGUGCCUCCA
rnacentral:tRNA from 1 species